AGAGUGAACGCUGGCGGCAGGCCUAACACAUGCAAGUCGAACGGCAGCACAGGAGAGCUUGCUCUCUGGGUGGCGAGUGGCGGACGGGUGAGGAAUACGUCGGAAUCUGCCUAUUUGUGGGGGAUAACGUAGGGAAACUUACGCUAAUACCGCAUACGACCUACGGGUGAAAGCGGAGGACCUUCGGGCUUCGCGCAGAUAGAUGAGCCGACGUCGGAUUAGCUAGUUGGCGGGUAAAGGCCCACAAGGCGACGAUCCGUAGCUGGUCUGAGAGGAUGAUCAGCCACACUGGAACUGAGACACGGUCAGACUCCUACGGGAGCAGCAGUGGGAAUAUUGGACAAUGGGCGCAAGCCUGAUCCAGCCAUGCCGCGUGUGUGAAGAACGCCGUUACGGUUGUAAGCUACGUUUUGGUUAGGGUAAGAAAAGCGUAACGUAGGUUAACUACCCGGUGUACAGUCGAACCGUAACCGAAAGAAUAAACGACCAACC
rnacentral:rRNA from 1 species